ensembl:lncRNA
UCUAGGCCUACUUUCAAACGUUUUAAAAAAGUGGAAAUCUAGAAUGUAAUAUGAGUGUUAUAUAGGAUACCUUCCUGUCGAUUGUGAUAGUUUUAGCAUCAACUCGUAAUUUUUUGGCUGGAAAUGUAAUUGUGGAAAUAAUUAAAUGUUUGCUAAAAAGAAUCAGUAAUUGCAUGGAGUGUAAACAAACGCUUUUGGUGAAAACAUGGUGAUUUGCGGGUGCUAAUCAAACCAUCACUAAAGUUAUCUAUCAUAGCUAAGUUACCUGGAAAGCUAACCCAGCGACCAACUAUGUGAGUGUCAUCAUGAACAAGAGGAAGGGUGGCAGUGACAUGGUUUUUUGGCCAGCCUCAGAAAAUAGAAAAUAAAGAGAUGGAGAGCAUGAGGAUGCCAACAGGGCAGGGCGAGCAGGUGACAUGGUGAGUAAGAGGAGACAAUAUUGAUGACCAAUCUGAUAUUGCCACGUUGGUGUUCUUCCUACGACAUCAUAAUUAAUGUUGGCACAGCUGAGGUUAGGCUUAGGCACAGGUACCACUGAGGUUAGGUUUAGGCACAGGUACCACUGAGGUUAGGCUUAGGCACAGGUGUCAAUUACAGAUGCAAUGAUAGUCCUGGAGCAAUAUUAAUUAUGAUGUUGUAGGAACAAAAAAACGGUGAUAUCAGAUUGUGUAAAUAUUCAUCCUUAAGAGUUAUAAAUAUUUUAAACAUUUUUGAAUGUUUUUCUGGCGGUGGACCCCCAGACCCCCGACUGAUUUUCAAUGUUGACUCUAUGGCUACGGCUUUGCCACUAAAUACUAUCGAAGUGUUGUAAAUGUACAUUCUGUGGAUGUUAUGAAUCGAUUUAUAAGUAAUUUAACACCACCCUCUAAUGGACACUAUGGGAAACUGUAUCUGGAUCCAUACAGCCUAUUCUGAUCUUUAUUUCUUCAACUCAUUCAUUUGUGGGCUUAUCAGGUGGGAAAAAUUGAUUGGUCGAAAGUCCAAGUAAUGGCAUUACAGUAUAUUUCUCAUCUGGACUGUCUCAACAACCAGCCUUUUUAUCAUAUGAGUCCCUGCUAGACACAUUCUAUCUCCAUCCUGACUUCAUGCCUGCCAUGUUUUAUCAAUAACCAAAUGUGCCAAUAAAAAUAACCAUUAGUCAACUCAGAAGUGUAAGAAAAAUAUUCUACAUAUCAGAGAACAAAGGCUAACAAUGGUUUCAGUGGUAUGUAGUCAAUGGUAACAUUAAACUA